ensembl:snRNA U1 U1 spliceosomal RNA
AUACUUACCUGGCAGGGGAGAUACCAUGAUCAUAAAGGUGAUUUUUCUGGGACAAGCCUUAUCCGUUGCACUCCAGAUGUGUUGACUCUUGCAAACUCCCUAGAUGGGGGAAACUCAACUGCACAAUUUGUGGUAGUGGGGGACUGCAUUUCUGCUUUUUUCUG